CCUACGGUAGGCAGCAGUGAGGAAUAUUGGUCAAUGGACGAGAGUCUGAACCAGCCAAGUAGCGUGAAGGAUGACUGCCCUAUGGGUUGUAAACUUCUUUUAUAUGGGAAUAAAAUGUUCCACGUGUGGGAUUUUUUAUGUACCAUAUGAAUAAGGCUCGGCUAACUCCGGUCCCGCCGCCGCGGUCAUACGGAGGAUCCGAGCGUUAUCCGGAUUUUUUUGGUUUAAAGGGAUCGUAGGUGGAUUGUUAAGUCAGUUGUGAAAGUGUGCGGUUCAAACGUAAAAUUGCAGUUGAAACUGGCAGUCUUGAGUACAGUAGAGGUGGGCGGAAUUCGGGGUGUAGCGGUGAAAUGCUUAGAUAUCACGAAGAACUCCGAUUGCGAAGGCAGCUCACUGGACUGCAACUGACACUGAGGCUCGAAAGUGUGGGUAUCAAACAGGAUUAGAUACCCUUGUAGUC
rnacentral:rRNA from 1 species